UGGUCCGCAAUUUCGGAAACAGGGAGAACUAUUGUAUGCUCGUAAACCAAAGCUACAACUAAUGGUAAAGCGCCCACAUAUCUGACCAUGCAACACAACCUUUCCUUUCUUGUUUUCUCUCUUAUUUCUCUACUAUUUUUUUCUUUUCAUUAUUUUAUCACAUCUUCCUCACAGUCAUUUCUCUUUUACUUUCAUAAGUAGAAGCUGUUUGUCGGAUAUUGUCUUUGAAUUCAACCUUAGACAUAAAUCAUCUAUAAAAAUAAAAAAUUGUUUAAA
rnacentral:lncRNA from 1 species